rnacentral:rRNA from 1 species
UUGGAGGGCAAGUCUGGUGCCAGCAGCCGCGGUAAUUCCAGCUCCAAUAGCGUAUAUUAAAGUUGUUGCAGUUAAAAAGCUCGUAGUUGAAUUUUGGAUUCGGCCAAUUGGUCCAUCUUUUAGAUGAGUACUGGUUGUGUUGGGUCUAUCCGCCUGGUGAUACGUAAUGUCCUUUAUUGGAUGUUGCGGGUAGUCAGGACCUUUACCUUGAAAAAAUUAGAGUGUUUAAAGCAGGCUUAUGCCGGAAUACAUUAGCAUGGAAUAAUAGAAUAGGACGAAGUUGUUUUAUUUUGUUGGUUUCUAGGACAACCGUAAUGAUUAAUAGGGAUAGUUGGGGGCAUUAGUAUUCAAUUGUCAGAGGUGAAAUUCUUGGAUUUAUUGAAGACUAACUACUGCGAAAGCAUUUGCCAAGGAUGUUUUCAUUAAUCAAGAACGAAAGUUAGGGGAUCGAAGACGAUCAGAUACCGUCGUAGUCUUAACCAUAAACUAUGCCGACUAGGGAUCGGGCGAUGUUGUUUCCAUGACUCGCUCGGCACCUUAUGGGAAACCAAAGUGUUUGGGUUC